rnacentral:rRNA from 1 species
AGCGGACGCUGGCGGCAGGCCUAACACAUGCAAGUCGAACGAACUCUUCGGAGUUAGUGGCGGACGGGUGAGUAACACGUGGGAACGUGCCUUUAGGUUCGGAAUAACUCAGGGAAACUUGUGCUAAUACCGAAUGUGCCCUUCGGGGGAAAGAUUUAUCGCCUUUAGAGCGGCCCGCGUCUGAUUAGCUAGUUGGUGAGGUAAAGGCUCACCAAGGCGACGAUCAGUAGCUGGUCUGAGAGGAUGAUCAGCCACAUUGGGACUGAGACACGGCCCGAACUCCUACGGGAGGCAGCAGUGGGGAAUCUUGCGCAAUGGGCGAAAGCCUGACGCAGCCAUGCCGCGUGAAUGAUGAAGGUCUUAGGAUUGUAAAAUUCUUUCACCGGGGACGAUAAUGACGGUACCCGGAGUAGAAGCCCCGGCUAACUUCGUGCCAGCCGCCGCGGUAA